rnacentral:rRNA from 1 species
CAGCCGCCGCGGUAAUACGUAGGGUGCGAGCGUUAAUCGGAAUUACUGGGCGUAAAGCGUGCGCAGGCGGUUCGUUAAGACAGAUGUGAAAUCCCCGGGCUUAACCUGGGAACUGCAUUUGUGACUGGCGAGCUAGAGUAUGGCAGAGGGGGGUAGAAUUCCACGUGUAGCAGUGAAAUGCGUAGAUAUGUGGAGGAAUACCGAUGGCGAAGGCAGCCCCCUGGGAUAACACUGACGCUCAUGCACGAAAGCGUGGGGAGCAAACAGGAUUAGAGACCCCAGUAGUCCCUGUCUCUUAUAC